AAAAGACUCAAUUUAACAUUUUACAGACCCAAAAUUGAGACCCACGUUUGCUGAGAUCAUGGCUGCUUUGAAGCUGUUGCAAAAGCCCACAACCAGUUCUCAAGUUCCCAGGCCAAGCACAUUCACAGGCAGUGGCCGUCAGAAGCCUCUGCCAUUACAAAUUGCAGAAGAAGCAUGCUAGAAGAGCAAACUAUACCAUCGUACUCUCUGUCAUUGGACUGCAAAAAUAUGGGGUGAAGUUCUAGAUUGCCUUGGACAAGUCUGAGAAAGUGAUUGCGAUUCUAUUUUCUCAAUUCCCUUUUUUCCCCAUCACAGUGCUGCUAUCCUCAAGGUUGUAUAUUUGUUUGUAGAAAUCCAUUGAAAUUGUUGUAAUCAAUAUUUGGAAAAUUUUUCUU